GCGCCCAUAGCUUAAUGGAUAAAGUAUUUGAUUCCGAUUCAAAAGACUGUAGGUUCGAUUCCUACUGGGCGCGCCA
rnacentral:tRNA from 1 species